rnacentral:lncRNA from 10 species
GUCCGGACAGCAGGAAUGGGAGAGCCGCCUCCAACCCCAGCCCCAUGGAGCAGGGCAGAAACGCUGCCCACUGCCCUGCUCCUGCCACCAGGAAGGGCGUGUGGGGGGCCACUUUCUGUAAAGAAGAAACCGCCUGAACAACAAGUGGCUCAAGGCACCCUUGUCUAACGACCAGGGACACUGAGCGCCAGGGCCCAAGUCACCAGCAAGAGAAAACCCAGGCGGAGCCCAGGGUGUCCCCCACUGCCCACCAGCCACUGCGGUCAACGUGAAGGGCAAGGGUGCAAGCGGGAUCGCGUCACAGGGAGCCGAGUGAGCCCAGAAAGUAGGAGAAGGACGUUUCCACCCACCUGGAGCGCAGUCCGUUUGCAGCCGGCGGCAGUCAAGGUGUAGAAUAAACUAAAAGGCAUUCCACCCCAAGAAAGGAGCUGAAUGUUUAGUUAACAACAGAAGACACAGUGGAUGGGAGUGGUAGAAGGUAAGAUUUCAUCGCUGCUGUGAUAGUGUUAUGGCCAGCGAAUGCUGCUGUCUCCAUCAAUAAAGUCCAUGUUAGCCACCUAGAGGAUAAAAUACCACGAGGAGGAGUAGCAAGGUGCCCCUGUUGACAGAUCUUGAAGCACAAGCUCACUCCCAGAAGCACAGCUGCCUAGUCAACAAACAGCUGACAAUACAUGUCUGAAGGAGCUCAGCUGGGAACAGAAGAAUGGCCCCACUGAGCCUAGCCUAAAUGGCGGACCAUCUCAAUUAUGAGCUAAUAAGUUUUGGAUGAUUUGUUAUGCUGCCAUACCUAACUAAUACAUGCACCCAGUGCAGAUUGGGUGUCAAGAUUUAAAGACAGUUUGAUUAUUAGUCACCUUCUAACAAUGGGCACCCUAAAGGUACUGACAUUUUUCCCGAUUUAAAGUUAAAUGUCUUGUAAGGCAAUGUUGACUGAUGCAGGAAUACUUGUAGACAUGUAUGCAUGUGAUUGGUGCUUAUAUGCACACAGUCCCCCACACCACAGGAAAAAACCGAUGACCAGAGCCUGACCAUUAUGGCCAAGGCCAAAUAGCCAAAGUUUGCCUUUAAUCUAUUUUCUUCAUAUCUAAAAAUUGGAGGUCAAUACUGUGGACAGGUCUGAAGACAUAGAGUUUUGUUCUCCUGUGGCCCCAUCAUUCUUCAGUGGUCUACCUGUGGUUAUUUUAUUCUUGUUACCUUCUGCUCUUUCUAUGACCACUAUCUGUUCCACCCUUGAAACUGAAGACAGAUGUUAGUAGAAAGAGGCUGUUCCCUCAUGUCGGGCAUGUGGGAUACGAUGAGGUUUCUCUUCAAAUAGCCUGAUCAAUCUUUUAUUCUUUAAUUCAUAGUACCCACACACACACCCCUUUUUUUCCUUUUUCUCCUUUUUCCUUUCUGCCUUUGUUAGAUGCCCAGGCACGCCACAGUACCAGGCAUUAUCAGUACCAGCUCACAUUUCUUCCCUUAUUUGGAAAGAGGACUAACUUUCUAGCUCAAUGCAGACACCCCUUCCCCUUCCUCUCUGCAUUCUUUUGCAUGCCCACCUUAUCUAAAAAAAUCAAAUGUUUAGCCAACCAGGAUUAGUUCAGAUUGUACGACCCGACCCUGGCCAAUGGGGAAAGGGUACAGGGGCAGGACUUGUGUCAGGAAUAAAGGCUCUUGUGCCCCUUUGUUCAGGUGUGCUCUCAUGGUGACUGGACAAGAACGCACCCCUCUGUGCAGA